UACAUAUGUAUGGCACAUAUGUAUAUAUGCCUGAAUCUCAUUAAAUACUAUCCAUUGUAUUAACGCCUAGCUUCACACCCCCAACCGCAUUCGCAUUCCUCUUUGUAAACGAGUUUUUAUCGUCUUGUAAGCGCCAAUAAAGUUAAUCGCAAAAUUAAGCUAAA